rnacentral:rRNA from 1 species
GUGGGGAAUCUUAGACAAUGGGGGAAACCCUGAUCUAGCCAUGCCGCGUGAGCGAUGAAGGCCUUAGGGUUGUAAAGCUCUUUCAGCUGGGAAGAUAAUGACUGUACCAGCAGAAGAAGCCCCGGCUAACUCCGUGCCAGCAGCCGCGGUAAUACGGAGGGGGCUAGCGUUGUUCGGAAUUACUGGGCGUAAAGCGCACGUAGGCGGACCGGAAAGUCAGAGGUGAAAUCCCAGGGCUCAACCUUGGAACUGCCUUUGAAACUCCUGGUCUUGAAGUCGAGAGAGGUGAGUGGAAUUCCGAGUGUAGAGGGGAAAUUCGGAGAUAUUCGGAGGAACACCAGUGGCGAAGGCGGCUCACUGGCUCGAUACUGACGCUGAGGUGCGAAAGCGUGGGGAGCAAACAGGAUUAGAAACCCCAGUAGUCC